rnacentral:rRNA from 1 species
GAAAAUUACGAGCAUAAGCUUAAAACUCAAAAGAUUUGGCGGCGCUUUAACCCCUAGAGGAGCUUGUCCUAUAAUCGAUUGUCCCCGCUAAACCUCACCUUCUCUAGCCCUCAGCCUACAUACCGCCGUCGUCAGCUAUCCCAAUGUAGGUUAUACAGUAAGCAAGACCGGCUUUACCCCCAAACGUCAGGUCAAGGUCUAGCUCACGAGAAGGGAAGAGAUGAGCUACAUUUCCUACUUAGGGCUUACAGAAAAUCUUUUGAAACAAUAGAUGGAAGUAGAAUCUAGCAGUAAGUAAAAAAUAGAGUGUUUU